AGUGAACGCUGGCGGUAGGCCUAACACAUGCAAGUCGAACGGCAGCACAGUAAGCGCUUGCUCUUACGGGUGGCGAGUGGCGGACGGGUGAGGAAUACAUCGGAAUCUACUUUUUCGUGGGGGAUAACGUAGGGAAACUUACGCUAAUACCGCAUACGACCUACGGGUGAAAGCAGGGGAUCUUCGGACCUUGCGCGAUUGAAUGAGCCGAUGUCGGAUUAGCUAGUUGGCAGGGUAAAGGCCCACCAAGGCGACGAUCCGUAGCUGGUCUGAGAGGAUGAUCAGCCACACUGGAACUGAGACACGGUCCAGACUCCUACGGGAGGCAGCAGUGGGGAAUAUUGGACAAUGGGCGCAAGCCUGAUCCAGCCAUACCGCGUGGGUGAAGAAGGCCUUCGGGUUGUAAAGCCCUUUUGUUGGGAAAGAAAAGCAGCAGGUUAAUACCCCGCUGUUCUGACGGUACCCAAAGAAUAAGCACCGGCUAACUUCGUG
rnacentral:rRNA from 1 species